GUCUUCCCUCUCGAAUCAUUUCUCCCACUUCUUCAACCUUCGUCUUCCCUUCCAUCCUCCCACUUCCCCCACUUACCUACUAAACCUAGAAAAAGAAGGAAACCGAGUUAAUGAACGGCCGGUCCAGGGCACUUCUUUCCAUGUUUAACCUUCAUCUUCGCAGGACAACUCCAAAAGUUUCCUUCUUUCUCUGCUAACCUAGAAAAAGAAGGAAACCAAGUUUUCUCGUUUUCCCUUCUAUCGUGUCGUGAAGUGUCGUCCUCGAACGAACGGACGGUCCAGGGCGCUUCUUUCCAUCUUCAACCUUCGUCUUCUCAGACAGCCUCUAGUUUGGGAUUUUGGUGUUGAUUUGAUUUCUUCGUGUUCCAAAGAGAUGGAUGAUAGCUGUGCCAUCUGCGCUGAACACUUCGAAUGGGUUGCGUACGAACCAUAUGGCCGCCGCAAGUUCUGCUCAACCUGCGUCACUCGUUUACGUUUUUUGCUAGAUAUAUUUCGAAUUGUUUCCUACUUUUCUUCCCCGAAUUUGUCAUGUCACAGGUUUUCUGUUUGGAGCACAGAAAUGGAACAGGAAAAGGACUCAUUUCCCCCUACUUGCUGUUCUCUUUUCUCUCUUCAUUGCAGCUUCAAUCCUCUACAACGAACGAAGUAUUCAGCAAAUCCACUAAGACAAGAAACAACAACAGUCUUCCAUUACACAAACAUCACUUCUCGCCUCUGCUCCUCCAAAAACCUCUGGAGCUAAUGACCAAAAGCGAGCUCUAGCGAGCUUGAUAGAUUCACUACAUGCGCUUCCACUCGAAAGUACAGUGGUAAGGAAACUGGAUUGACUGACCUUAUGGUGGAAUCUAGCCGAUGGGGAGGAGCUCCUGAGAGCUGUAACUUGUUUUCCGGCAAAUGGGUUUUUUAUAAUACUUCAUAUUCGCUAUAUAACGAGUCGCAUUGCCCUUGUACGUCCGAUCAGUUGGCAUGUCGGAAGCACGGAGAGGACUGACUUGAGGUACCAAACAUGGAUUCAACCCCAUAACUGCAACUUAAAGAGGUGGAACACGACUGAAAUGUGGGAGAAAUUGAGAGGCAAGAGACUGAUGUUUGUUGGGGAUUCUCUUAAUAGAGGACAAUGGAUAUCCAUGGUAUGUUUAUUACAAUCUGUAAUGCCUGAGAAGAGAUCCAUGUCACCCAACGGGCCUCUAACAAUUUUCAAAGCAGAGGUCAGGCAACACCAGUCAAUAUAUAAAAAUGGUGGAGACAAGGCCCCAGUUAAGUUACUAUGGAGUAGUGAAGAAAAUGGGAUAUGUGAAGAACUAGAUGGCUUGGAAGCCAUGGAGUUGGCAAUGGAGACUUGGGCAGAAUGGGUGGCUUCCAAGGUGAAUCCUACCAUUAAGCGUGUAUUCUUUGUUACCAUGUCUCCAACCCAUCUCUAGUGAGUUUUGAACAUAACAAAACACUUCAGCUAUAAUGCUCUAUCAAACUUCAAACAAGGGGUAGAUUAUGUGAUCUUCCUCAAUACCAUGAUGUGUGGAUACAGUGGGAGCAUUAAUGUGUGUGUUUUGGUGUAAUUGUUAAUAUUCAAAUAUAACUCAUCUGAGGGUAGAAUUGGAAUCAAAAUGGAUCAUUCUGGUUCCAACCAUUCGGUUUGGCAAUCGGAAUUUAAUUCCCAUUCCUGGUGGAAUGACAUUCCCCCAUUAGAGGGAAUGGGCAUUUCCUCCCCCUCCCUUUGGAAUGAGGAUCCAUUCCAGCCAAUUCCGGUUCCCGUCUAAACCAACAAGCAAGAGGAAUAAACCAUUGCCAUUCCAAUUCUGACUGCAAACCAAACGGACCUUAGGUGAAAUUCUAGAUAAAAGCAACUAGAUUGAUUCUAAAAUUCAGAUUUCAAUUUUAGAAAGAUGGAAAGCUCAAAAUCAAGGUUUGGAGUAUUACUGAAGCCAAUUCAUAAAAGCUUGGAAACUCAAAUUCUCCAAAUCUGAAGCUUUACUUUAAGAUUUUGACAUUUUGACUCUGAACUUUCAACAGAAAUAUGGAAAACAAGUUCGUUAAUAAGGUAGGAACAUGUACAAGUUCAUAGUGUUGCCAAAUGAGCUUUCAAAGCCAAAUCUCAAAUCAAAAAGCUUAUCUUUGGCUUUUGUCUAUGAAAGCUGAAAAUACAUUGUCCAAACAACAUGAUAGCAUGUUGCAUCACUCCAUUGAAGGGUGCCACAAUCACCUAAAUAGCCAGGCAAUUAUCCUUUCCUCGAUUGCCUUGAUGCCCCUUGCUUAGCCAUCCCUGGUGAUACAUUGUCAAUCCUGCUGAUAUCAAUGUGACAUCACAUAGAAACUCUCUAGUACAGUCUGAAUAUUGUUAAAUUUGGGUUGUGGCAGGUCUAAGGACAGACCCAGAACCUAAAAAUUUUAAACAUACAUUUACUUAUAGGGCCAUAAGUCAGAUACUACAUGGAUUAUGGGCCAAUAGAAUAGCCUCAACAUAUGAAUAAAAUGAACUGAUGAUAAUGUAAACCUGGUAUGGGGAAUCUUAGUAGAGAUAAACGUCUGGACAGCAGGUCCAUGAGGGGCCUAUUAGGUAGAACUUAGUUGCAAUUCUGAGAGAACCAAAUGCAA